rnacentral:tRNA from 1 species
GCCGGGGUGGCCCAGACCGGUAAGGCGCAAGCCUGGAACAAAUUUACGGAAAGCUUGUUCUCGCAAGAGAUCGGGAGUUCAAAUCUCCCCCCCGGCG